rnacentral:rRNA from 1 species
UGAGGGAUAUUGGGCAAUGGGGGCAACCCUGACCCAGCGACGCCGCGUGAGGGAAGACGGUCUUCGGAUUGUAAACCUCUGUCUUUGGGGACGAAAAAGGACGGUACCCAAGGAGGAAGCUCCGGCUAACUACGUGCCAGCAGCCGCGGUAAUACGUAGGGAGCGAGCGUUGUCCGGAAUUACUGGGUGUAAAGGGAGCGUAGGCGGGAAAACAAGUUGGAUGUGAAAACUGCGGGCUUAACCUGCAGACUGCAUUCAAAACUGUUUUUCUUGAGUGAAGUAGAGGCAAGCGGAAUUCCUAGUGUAGCGGUGAAAUGCGUAGAUAUUAGGAGGAACACCAGUGGCGAAGGCGGCUUGCUGGGCUUUUACUGACGCUGAGGCUCGAAAGUGUGGGGAGCAAACAGG